rnacentral:tRNA from 1 species
GCGCGACUGGCUCAGUUGGUGGAGUACGACCUUGCCAAGGUCGGGGUCGCGGGUUCGAGUCCCGUCUCGCGCU